GGUGUGAUAGCUUCAAAGCUUUUAGGGUAAACGAGUAGCUGAAAAAAUUAUCGAAAUUGAUUCCAAUUACAAGUAUUUAUAGGGAGAAAAACAGAGUCUAUGAGCGGGAGUUUGAAUUUUUGAAUUUGUCAAAAAAACAAACCUUCAAAUCCAAACGUUUGAAGCCCUUAGGAUAAGAUUUGCUGGAGCCACGUGAUUGAGAUGACAUCGGUGUGAAGAUGUAGUAGCUACCCUCUGCUUAUCGUUGACAAAAUACGCUACUUUUCCAGAAAAAAAUGAAAGAAGAGACAUGAUGUGCGACCGCUAAGUGAAAAGACAGGAGAUUGAAACCUAAAGAGACUUGGAUAAAUUUAAAAAUAAGGAUAUUUGGGCUGCUGCAUUUUUGGGCCUCCAAAUGGGGUCUUUUUUCGAUAAAUUUAGUAGUCCCAAAGGCUGAAUAAUUUUUGGGUCUCAAAUUGAAUCAAAUUUUGUGGCCCAAUUAGCUGAAAUAGUUUUCGGGUCGUUCAUUCUUUAAAUCAAUUCUUUCGAGCUUCUAAUUUAAUAACUAACAUAAUAUAUGUAAAAAAUAAAAUACUAAUAUUAUAUUUUCGCUAAUGAUUUAGAAAAAUAUUACUAACUUAUAACUAAUUAAUUAAGUAGGAACUUUGAAAUAUGAUGACAAUAAUAGAAUGUUUAAAAAGUAAUUUUAUACUAAUUCUAAGAGGAAUAACAAUCAUAAAAUAAAUAAUAUUAAUAAUAAAAUAGUAGUAGUAGUAAGUCGUAAAUAUUAUAGGAAUUAAUGGAAAAAAUAUUUAUUAACUUAGAAGCUCAAAAAAUAUAAUUUGAAGAAAGAAGGGUCAAAAUUGGGUUUCAACAUUUGAAAGUAUUGAACUUAGGCAGCGUGUACCCUAGCGGAAAUUCAACAUUUGAAUGCACACAUAAAUUCUCUUACUUGAAGCUCUGACAAAUUUUUGAGCGCAACUCUUCAUCAAAAGCUUUUCUCAGAUUGUGAAGCUCUUUUCCCAAAUCUUCAUGGAAAAUUGAUUGAAUAUCCUUCUCACGUCUAGAAUAUAGACCAGCUGCUAAUUGGUUAUGCUUAUUUUCAUUGUAAGGAAAUACAAGUGUGGGAGGAUGGAUAUUUGGCAUCAUGGUGACUUGAAAGUUAUUGGGAUUGAUAGUGUAUAUUGAUGGCAUUUGUGGAGGGAUUGCAUAGGUAGAAGCUGAGUGAGGAGAUAUGGUUAGACAAAUAUUCUAAGUUGAGCUGGAAGCUUUGGUGGUGGUAGGAAGAAGGCUAAAGGUAGUUUUCAAAUUGACCAAAUUAUUUCUUCGAACCACAUUCUUCUUAUAAUCAUCAUUUUGUGCUUGCACAGAUCUCAUGCCGUUGUUGAAUGCUUUCAAUUCGUUUUCCAUUGUAGCUUCGUCCUUUAUACAGAUUCGCAGUCAAAACGGUGUUCAAUGCUAGAUAACCUCUAAAGAAGAAACAAACUAUAUAUAAAAAAAAAAAAUAGUGCAUGAGAAUAACUGCAAAAAUAAUAAAUAUGAGAUAAAAUAGAUUAUGCAUGUGCUUUUGUAAAAUAUGAACUUUUGGCUUAAGGCAAUGAUUUAAGUUUUAAAACGAGUGGACGAGAGAAGGUAUUAGCUAGUGGGCUCUAACGUUGGAAAUAUAAGGAAAGGAAAUUGAUUUGGAGUAGAAAAAAUAAUUUGGAGAAAGGUUGACUCAUGUCGAACAUCAAAUUUUGACUUCAACUUGAUCCUUAUUCUUUGUAAACUUGUUCAUGCUUCCAACUCGGUUAUGUGCCAAAAUUAUGCCCCAGCUUCUUCGGAGGAAUACUAAAAUUUUAUAAUAAAUCGACCGAGCCUUAUAUAGGCUGCCUACGUAUCCACCAAGGAAAUCAGGUCAAGCGUAGUUCGUCUUACAUAAAAAGGAAUUUAAAACAUACAAAUAAUGAUCACCUAAGUUCGCAAAAUACAUCAUUGCUUAGAUGCUACACAAAAACUAAUUGCCCUUCUCUAUGGCUCAUAAAAGUCAUCUUUUGAGAAAGCCCCCAUACGCCUAAUGAUUGUUCUGAUUGAAAUCAUUCUUGGUACUUUGCUCGGCUAUAUCAUAAUUGUUUGCAGAAGAUGCAUGAAAUGGUGAAUUUGGUGCAAUAAUCUUUGGUACAACAGUUUCUUGACUAUGAGAAGGAACUUGACUAACAGAUUGCGAAUAAAUUGCUCGAUUGUGACUUGACGUCGGCAUGACGACUGAAAGUUGAUGCCAAACAAACUUAGGGCUAGGUACCAGUCGUUGAAUGAUCAUGCCACUAUCCAAUAGAUUUUGGAUCUCUUCUUUCAAAUAUUGGCACUCAUCGGUAGUGUGACCUAACAUACCUGAAUGGAAAGCACAUUGUUUGGCCGGGUUAAAAGGAUGCAAAGGGGUUUCAUUAGGCCUUGGUUGCAAAAUUCCUAAUGAUCUCAAUUUUUCGAAUAUGAAUGAAAUUGGUUUACUCAAAGGGAUGAAAGUUUGAGCUUUUCUCACUUCAGGAACUAGUGGAGGAACAUUUGGUGCUUCAGUGACAAUUGUCUUCCCUUUGUCCCUAGAUUGUAGCUCAUUCGAACAAUAAUGCCCCAAAGUUGUUUCUGCCACUUUCUUUUGGGAUUCAUGCCCUUAAUUUAAUUCCCUCAAUAGACUAUAGAUUUCCUUUUCAACAAACCAUACCCUUUAGAUGCACUAUUAGGAGGCCUAUAUUGCUUAAUAAAAUCUUUGGCUAAAUCGACCCAAGAGAGUUAUUUCCUUGUGUCUUGGUUUGCAUACCACAUCAAGGUUGGCCUUGUAAGAGUCCUAACAAAAAGUAUCAUAUUAAAUUCAUUGUCUUGCCCUAUGCUUGCUAACCAAUCAAGAUAUGCCUUCAAGUGGGUCUGGGGAAGACCUGUCCCAUCAUACAUUGGAAUAUCAACAAGAUUAUAAGGUGUCUCGUUCUCAUUUUCCAUCUCAACCAAAUUUGUCUCAAGUUGUGAAGCAAGCUCAUUUGUGAAAGAAAUUUGGUUAGUCUCAGUAUUAAAAUGUCUUCCACCAUCUUCUCCAUCUUUGCUUGUUUCGCUCAAAUUCUCAAAUGCCUCAUUCUGUGAAACUGGAUGCAUGUUUGAAAAGUACUGAGCAUUACAAUCAAAGUUGGAAUAUGCAGUUGCGCGAAUAGGAGAGUAUCCCUCUAAAUCUUCAUCGGAGGAGUCUUUAAGAUCAUAAUCCAAUGAGUCUUUAAUCGAAGAGUUCUUAAUAUUGGCUAUCAUUUCUUUGAUGUCGUGAAUCUCUUGUUCCAUUUUUGCCACUUUUCCCUCAAGCUUAGUAAUUUUAUCUUGGUAUGAUUCAGCUUCUUCACAGUUAAACUCAUCUUCAACUAAGUCAAUCACAAAUCGAUCAGCCAUGUUUUUCUUGAGUUUGUUAGUCCCUUUGAUGCUCAACUUAAGUCAACCUUUGGAAGGAAAAUAAAAUAUUUGGUAAGCGUGGAGUAAGUAUGCGAAAGGUCAAGAGUAGAGCAUUUAAAAACCAACGGGAUCUAGUCCUAUAAGGGAUACCAUUUAAGAAAAUAAAUAAAUAAUAAAACAAAUUUGAUGAAAAAGCUCGAGAUUAAGAAAAUUAAGGUUAAUCGAGUGCACAAGAGUUGAAAUUGAUAAAUUGAAAGGUUGAAUGACCUUAAGCUCUAUUUUAGUAUUGGCGGAUUUAAAAUUAUUAAGGAUGGAGAAAAUGUCAAACAAUUAAAAAACCUUUGAGAUUUCCCUCGACUUGCAUGCCGAUACUUGGAAUUAGUAUGUAAAAAGAAUGGUACGACUAUCUUGAAUUGAAGAAGCAUUGCACUUAAUGGAGAAAAAAAUGAACAAAUAUCGACAAGUGCUAUUUGGUAGAUUACACGAAUCUACCAAUUUAAGAAGUAACAAAUAAUGAGAAAAUUCGAAGAAAUUUGGAGAACAACUAAGAGCUCAAUGAUGUAAACCGAAUGCUAAAUAGAUUCUACAAAAUGCAGAAAUAGUGAAAAAAGUUUUUGUCGCUAGAAAGGUAGGUUUAUAUCCGUAAAGGAGGGACUUCAAAAAAUUCGAGAGUGUAAAGAUUUAUAAGAGUGAAUUUUGGCACGAGUCUAUAAAAUUUGGAGUGUUAAGGGGCAAAAAAUAUCACACCUAAUUUUGAACAACUAUGCCAAUUUUAAAAAGUAAGAAGAAAAUUCUUAAAGCAAGUCGUGGAUAUGAAUAUUGAGAAAAUCGAAGGAAGAAAACAAAUUUGGUAAAUUUUAAAGGAAGAAAGUGAGUUUUGGUAAAAUAUUACCUAAAUUUUUUUUAAAAACAAGGUCAUUAAAAAUAUGUGCAAGCCUAGGAUUAUUAUGAGCCUAAUCGAUGCUUUAGAAUUGUUAAAGUGCACUAAGUGUGGAAAUAUAAAUAUAAAAACAAAAAGUUUAUGAACAUGACUUAAGAAUUUGUAAAGGUGCGAUAGGUAAUCAAAUAAAGAAAUAAAUAAAGGCAAAUAAUUUUCUCUUCUGAAAAUAAGAAAAACAAAGAUGGUGUUGGUAAUAGUCAAUUAAAAUCACGUUGCAAAUAAAUUCAUAUAGGUCACGUAGGAAGUCAGCAAGCAAAUAUUUAUAAAGCACGUAACACAAGUAUAUCAAAUAAUGCGUCCUACUAUAUAGGGGACCUCUUUAUGCUAGAGGUAGGCCUAAUGCGUAUUUGAAAAAUAAAUGUACCAAAAUAUGUCAUUCCAUUGCUCUUGAUUUACUUAAGCGAAUCUAUUCCCCAAAUUAAAUACAAAAAUAGCCUUAAGCUUUAUUACAUCUCAAAAAAGAAUAAAGAAAUAAAGCUCUUCAUCGCAUCUACGCAUCUUCUUCUCAUGGCAUGCUCGUGGUUUAAUCUCCAUAGGCCAAAACUUGUGAUCUUCAUAGCUAUUUGCAUCACAAAAGGGUUAAUACCCUCCCUCCUAAGUUUAAUUAAUUUAGAACCAAUGGUCCAUAUUUUGGCUAAACUAUUUUUCAAAUAAUGCACACACAAAUGAUAAGAGUCACUCGGGGUCGUGAACCCACUUGGACAUUUGGAUAAAGUUGACUAAUGAACUUAAUACACCAAGGGUAUUAAACCUCUUAGAUUUAUAUGAUGCAUGUACCGUAAAAGGUGUUGGUUCAGCUCUAUCCUAGGUUGAUUAAGAGUGGGUUUACUAGACACAAGGUUCCCAAGUGGACAACUCGAGUGAGAAGGCUACACGGUCACACGGAAAAAGAUUUGGACACCCCGUGCAUACACCAACUCUCCUAAAUUUGGGAUUUUGAAAGAAAUUUGUGGGUGCGCAAAACACACAUCGCGUGUACGUGUGAUUGUGUGAAUUUUCUAGAAAUGGAAGAAUUAUGAGCGGAAUGACAAUUUUUAUGAAGCAGUAACAAAUAAACAAUUUAUAUAGAGCAUUAACAAAUAAACAGUUUAUGUCACAUAAGCACGAUAAUAAAACAUUUAAGCAACUAAAAUAAACAAACAAUUAAAAACACAAGCAAAUACUAAAAACCUUAAUUAUUAACCUAAGUCUGUUAUGGUUUAAAACCUAAUUUUCCCCAGUGAAGUCGUAAUUUCUGUUAUACCCCAUUUUAACUCGAGGUCCAAAUUGUGUACAACAUUUUGGUGAUUUCCAAAUUAUUACCUAACUUAAGAAGUCGCCACCUAAUUAUUACGGUGAAUUAGGACACCUAAAUAUUUGACUAAGUAAUACUAAAAUUGACUCCAAUUAAGGCCUACUUAACCUAUGUGAUUCUAGGUAAGGGUUCUAAAUUAUCCUAAAGGGAAGGUGUAAGGCAUCCUUUAAGAUUAGUUAAAAACUAUUAACCGGCCAAACUUAGGUUAAUUAAUUUUGAAAGAAAGAUAUGAAUGCUAAAGAUUAAGUGAUUGAAUAAUCAAAUUGGAAACAUUUCUUAACUGUGAAAGCUCUUUUGUAAUUGUAAUAGAAUGAUAAAGAUUUAAGAAAAAGUAACUCGUCUAGGUAAAUUUAGACAAAAUUUGUGAUCCAAUGGCUAAAAGAAAGGUAAUUAAAAUAAAGGUAUUUUCUCUCAUUUAUUGACAAAGUGCUUCCUUUAGAAAAGUAUUUUUAGAAAAAUAGGAGUUUUUUUCUUUUUCGAAAUACACUACCAAGUUUGAACAAAACUUAAUAAUUAGUGAGUUUAAAGUGGUGCAAAAAGAAGUGUUUUAAAAAAGAGUUUGCCAAAUGAAGUUUAUAAAAGCUAAAGCGACUAUGAAGGUUGUUUCUAACUAAAGGUAGGGAAACCCAAACAUCUAUAUUAAGUUAGUUAUUAUGAAACAAGAAAUGAACACAUAUCCAAAACACAUAAGCAAAUUAAAACAAAUAAAUGCUAAAUAGUAAAAGCGACCCUCAAAUGAAUUUUGCUCACUAUUUGGAUAGUCUAAGAUGUCGACUUCAUGUGCGGGUAUGAUGGUGUCGAGUCCAUGAGACUCUAAUUUUGGUAGAGUCCUUAAAUGAGCCCUCUUGCACGGUGAGAGUCUUUUAUUGAGACUCCAAAUAGCUCCGGAAGUGUUCAUGCAAAUAAAGAAAGAAUAAAGAGAUUAGGGAGGCGAAUCCACUUUAAGACUAUCAAAUAAACCAAACAUGAAGCUAGUAAAGUCGUACAACCAAAAUACUAUCCGGAAUGAAAAAUAUGCAAGCAUAGGAUAAGUCGACUUAUUAACAUAACUCAAAGUAACUAGUCUACAAGAUAAAACUAACUCUCAAGUUUAUCCAACUUAAUCUAUAACAAAGUUACAUUUUAAGGCAUGAAGAUAAUUAAAACAAGCCAUUUAUUUAAAACUUAUAAGAAAGAUUUAACACAUAUACUAUAUAUGUUGACAGAAUAGGAAAGAAACUUAAAAACUCAUAUUUUUUUAAAUAAACUAUUCAGAGAUUUACAUGUCAUUUAUUUAGAAAAAUUGAAGGAAGCUUAUGUACACAUAUUUGCUAAAAAAUAAUAGGAAAGAAGUUUAAAGAUUCACAAUAUUGACAGUAUGUUUUCCAUUCAACAGAGGGAACAAAUAGAGGCAUCAUAACAUAAAAUCUAUUGCCAGAUAAGGAUACCAAAUGCCAUUAAUUUAUAAGAACGGAAGAUUUGAUUACAAAACCAUUAUAUGAUGGCUAAAAAUGUAAAAUAAACAUGGCUUUGGAUAUCUAAAAGAUUUGAGCUAAGCCCAAAUACAUUUUAAACAUCACAUUUAGUAUAGCUAAAAGUGACCAGAGACAACAUUUUCAUCAUGAUGACAAAGAAAACAGAGGAAAAGAGGAACACAUUACAAGUUGGCUAUCGAAAUACAAAGUUUAGGACAUUUUAUUUGCGCCUUAAUCUAGUAAAAGGCUAUACUCCGACAAACAUAAACAAAGCAAUACAUAUUUUUAUAGGCUUAACAUUAUCUCAAAACAGAGGGAUAUAUAUUUGGUUAAACAUCACUUAAGUAUGCUAAUAAGUAUUUUACUCAUUUGUCAAACUUCAAACAAAGCAUAGUUUCCAAAGAGUUUACUACCUAAAAAUGAGUCUUGGAAACAUGAUUUCUAAAAAAAAAUAAAACAAUCUUCAAAAUACUUUAACAUCUUAUUUUAACAAAAGAAAUGAACAAACAGUGAAUAUUAAAAUCAAAGAUCAGCUAAGUUACAUUCAUUCAUCAUGAUGCCAAAACACAAAAGUACUGAAAUGAAACUAACAGUAAGUCCAUAACACAUUAAAACACAAAUUCGUCCAUAUCUCAUGAAAAUAAAAUAAAAAAGAAACUAGAUGUCACUGACCUAUUUCGGGGCAGCGAACUGGGGCGUUUUCGGUCGAAGAUCUAUGCUCGAAUACGAAGACGAGGGUAAGCCCGUUCAAAUCCAAAAUCGUAGCAACAAGAUGAAGAACAAGGCUUCAAAACUAGGUGUGAUAGCUUCAAAGCUUUUAGGGUAAACGAGUAGCUAAAAAACUUAUUGAAAUUGACUCCAAAUACAAGUAUUUAUAGGGAGAAAAACAGAGUUUAUGAGCGGGAGUUUGAAAUUUUGAAUUGGUCAAAAAAACAAACCUUCAAAUCCAAACGUUUGAAGCCCUUAGGAUAAGAUUUACAGGAGCAACGUGAUUGAGAUGACAUCAGCAUGAAGAUGGCGUUUUUUGUUGACAAAAUACGCUACUUUUCUAGAUAAAAAUGAAAGAGGAGACAUGAUGUGCGACUGCUA
rnacentral:lncRNA from 1 species